GCUGUUUGUCUGUUCCACACAGGCUUGGGCCCGACGGGGGAGACGGAGCCCCAGGACUGUUGAGGCCUGGAAGUCCCUCCCUUUCCCCUCCCCCCUUUGCCAAUUUGUGGCAUUCCCCUCCCUCUACCUUCUCCUACUUUGAUAACCUGGCUAUGACUAGCAGAAGUACAGCCAGGCCCAAUGGGCAGCCCCAGGCCAGCAAAAUAUGCCAGUUCAAAUUGGUCCUGCUGGGAGAAUCUGCAGUGGGGAAGUCGAGCCUGGUGUUACGUUUUGUCAAAGGACAGUUCCAUGAAUACCAGGAAAGUACCAUUGGAGGUGAGUGCUUAGCACUUAGUAGGGCUUGAAAGGGACAUCUGGGACUUGAUUUUACAGGACAGUCAGGGCAACAGAGAAACCCUGUUUUUCUUUUUUUUUUUUGGGGGGGGGGGCAGGGUGAGGUGGUUCUUCCCUGAACAUAGGAAUGCUCUCGAAGCUAAUGCAGGGGGACUGCUUCAAGUUCUGGGUCAGCCCAACCAAGGCUGACACUCAGGUACUGGAGAGAUAGCUGCGAAGUUAAAAACAUGUUCUGGUCUUGUAGGGACACACACACCCAAGUUUGGUUCUGAGCAAGCCUUAGGUGGCUCCAGCUCAGGGGAUUUGACUACUCACACAGUACUUGUAAUUUUUUAAAAAUAUUUUUAAAACAAAUAUAUACAUAAUU
rnacentral:lncRNA from 1 species